UACCGUCUACCAACAGCUGAUCGUGAACGAACUCAGCGGACAUUGGAGACAUUUUGAACUGAACAUCACAUCUCGUGAGGGAUACCAGAUUGUGUUUGAAGGCAUCAAAGGCACAUCUGGUUUUGUAGCUCUGGAUGACAUCGAGUACACCGUUGGAUUCGACUGCACCACUAGAGUCACAAAACCAACCUCGAAGCCGGACAA